AAAAUUCAAAUAUAACCAUUUCUAGAUAUAUAUGGAUCUCUAUAAUUUUGCAUUAAUUAUGCUAUUGAUAAAAUAUUAUUCUUUUUUUUUACAGGUAAUUCAAAUUGAUAAAGAUUGGAAUAAUUUUGAAACCUCUUUUCAUAUACUAUUUUUUUAUUCUGAUUAAAAUCUUUCAUUUAACAUAUUAGGAAAUAUAAAAUAUAAUAAUAAAGAUUUAAUAUAUAUAAAC
rnacentral:lncRNA from 1 species